AGAUGGCAUUAAGUUUUGUAUGUCAUCUAAGAAUGGUGAGACGCCAGAAUUCGAAGAAGGGGCCAGCUAUGUGGUGAAAAACCAUACUUGAUCAAGCAAGUAUGGAAAGCAGAGCAUAUUUGUGAAAUCAGCCUCCAGCAAAUUUAAACCCUCCCCACUGAGCCUGAGUGAAGAUCAGGAGAAAGAGCCUCUGGUCUCAGUGGGCCCUUCAGAACAAGGUUGCAGGAGGUGAGGAUGGUGCAGGUGCAGUUCGGUAAAGUGCCCGUCCUGGACUUCAAGUUAAACUGCAAAUCAACAGCAGUUGAGGUUUCUCUUGGAGAGAUGAGGCUGUUAUCGAGCUAUUAAAUGGAGACACUGUGGAGCUGACCCACCUCCACCCAAACACUAAACAGAAUGGAAGAAUUCAUUCAACUUUUUUUGUGAUGGGCGUGAUCGUGCUUCUGGGGGUCGAUUACGAGGAGUACGUUGUCCCAGACACAAUGUAUUCAGGAGACAUUGAGGACCUUGUGGAACAGCUGCCAAUAAAAAUGAAAAUUAAACAUAUGAACAACCGGGUGCUAAGCAUCGAAGAAUAGAAUUUAAACAGGAAGUUCUGUGUUAAAUUAUGUAAGUUAAUUUUUUUUAAAUAGGUUAAGGGAGUAGUUUUUUCCCCCAUUAUUAAAGAUUAUUUGUUCAGCUGUUUAGUUUGUGUGCUUGUAUAAUAUAGUUAAUUGAUUAAUUAGUUUGUUUGUUUAUAUGUAAAUAGUUUGCAAUUGGUUUCCAAAAGUUCUGCUGUUUACUUUGUAUUUCUCGAAAUUGUAGUUUUUUCCCCCUCAUAUUUGGUUCAAUUAAAGUCAUUAGAUAAUUCUCAGUUAUGUCAGUUUUGAUUCUUUUCACACAUACACACCAGACACAGCCUAGGCUAUAUAUUACUGACAGCACAACAUUCUCAUAUGAUAACUACUUACAUUUUCAGCUCAAUAGUAUAUUAAGUUACAGAACUUAGCAGGUUUAACAACAUUUGUAUGACCAAAAAAAGUACUCUGAACAUUUAAAUAAAAAAA